CAGCGGAGCAUGUGGUUUAAUUCGAAGCAACGCGAAGAACCUUACCAGGGCUUGACAUGCCGCUGACCGGUUUAGAGAUAGACCUUUAUCCUUCGGGGUACAGCGGACACAGGUGGUGCAUGGUUGUCGUCAGCUCGUGUCGUGAGAUGUUGGGUUAAGUCCCGCAACGAGCGCAACCCUUGUCUUUAGUUGCCAUCAUUAAGUUGGGCACUCUAAAGAGACUGCCGAUGACAAAUCGGAGGAAGGUGGGGAUGACGUCAAAUCAUCAUGCCCUUUAUGUCCUGGGCUACACACGUGCUACAAUGGUCGGUACAACGAGAAGCAAGCCAGCGAUGGCAAGCAAAUCUCUAAAAGCCGAUCCCAGUUCGGAUUGCAGGCUGCAACUCGCCUGCAUGAAGUCGGAGUUGCUAGUAAUCGCGGAUCAGAAUGCCGCGGUGAAUGCGUUCCCGGGUCUU
rnacentral:rRNA from 2 species